rnacentral:rRNA from 1 species
UACGUAGGGAGCAAGCGUUGUCCGGAAUCAUUGGGCGUAAAGCGCGCGUAGGCGGCCCUGUAAGUCCGUUGUGAAAGUCAAAGGCUCAACCUUUGAAAGCCGAUGGAUACUGCAGGGCUAGAGUCCGGAAGAGGCGAGUGGAAUUCCUGGUGUAGCGGUGGAAUGCGCAGAUAUCAAGGAGGAACAUCGGUGGCGAAGGCGGCAUCCUGGACCGACACUGACGCUGAGGAGCGAAAGCCAGGGGAGCAAACGGG